UCCGAUAUGGUGUAGUGACCAACAUGAUGCCCUCUCACCUCAAUGAGAGGUUAGGCAUAGCCCCGAGUUCGAUUCUCGGUUUCGGAA